ACGGGUGGAGUAACGCGUGGUCAACCUACCGUUGAGUGGGGGAGUAACUAGCCGAAAGGUUAAGCUAAUACCGCAUACGUCUCCGAGGGGCGAUCCCUUUGGCGGAUAAAAGGAAGCAAUCCGCUCGAUGACGGGACCGCGUCCCAUUAGCUAGAUGGUGGGGUAACGGGCCUACCAUGGCACCGAUGGGUAGCUGGUUUGAGAGAGCGACCAGCCACACUGGGACUGAGAAACGGCCCAG
rnacentral:rRNA from 1 species